UCCGGGGUACGGCGUUGGCGUCCGUAACCGCGCUUUGAACGCGGAACCCGCAGGUUCGAUUCCUGCACCCGGAGCCA
rnacentral:tRNA from 1 species